rnacentral:lncRNA from 1 species
UUAAAUUCCAUAUUUUACUAAAUAUAUUUUACAAAAUAACACUGUAUAUAGUUAUCAGCUACUAUAUUUCUGUGAUUGGUAUGCUAUUUUAAGUGUUGUGCUGAUGGUUUUUUUUUUGUUUACACAUGUCCUACUGUGGAUUCAUUAUUAUUCGUUGGAUACAAAUUUACGUGGAUUUUGUAGGUAAAGGUGAACACUGGUGAACCACGAAAUUAAAUGUUUAACUAAUGACAAAUGUCCAAAGGCUUGUAUAAAUACUUUGUCAUAACUACCAAAUGAAUGUCCACGAACAUCCGUGUUUUCCUACAUCCACGGAAAUUGGUGUCCACGAAAAUGAAUGAAUCCACAG